GACGUAGGGCGCGAGCGUUGUCCGGAUUUAUUGGGCGUAAAGAGCUCGUAGGCGGCUUGUCGCGUCGUCCGUGAAAACCUGGGGCUCAACCCCAGGCUUGCGGUCGAUACGGGCAGGCUAGAGUUCGGUAGGGGAGACUGGAAUUCCUGGUGUAGCGGUGAAAUGCGCAGAUAUCAGGAGGAACACCGAUGGCGAAGGCAGGUCUCUGGGCCGAUACUGACGCUGAGGAGCGAAAGCGUGGGGAGCGAACAGG
rnacentral:rRNA from 1 species